rnacentral:snoRNA from 12 species
GGGAAUGAUGAUUCUUAAGACUAGAGUCUCUGACGCUGGUUCUGAUGGCAGAAAUUAGUUUCUGAUUC